rnacentral:rRNA from 1 species
AUGGCCACCGUCGGGCCACCCGGCGCCUAUCGGAGGAUCACCGUGCACUACAGCACCGCCGGUGAUGAUGUGAACCACGAUGACUUCCUCGAGUAUGUGAUCGGUGAUGUUCUUCAACACCAGGAGGGCCUGCACCAAUCCUUCGGCACAGGGGCCCCUGGUGCAUCCUGGAGCAUGCAUUGCUGCCAUGGGGAGAGCAGCAGAGGCACAGCAGCAGAAACCUCAGGAAGUUCAGAGGAACAGAUCGCUGCCGACCUCAAAUACGCCAGGAUGCUGCAGGAGAUGGAGGAUCUGGAUGUGGACACGCCUCCCAACGAAGACGAACAAGACGACAUAAGCUGUGUGCCUUCCCCAUCCGACACGGACGACGACGAUGAUCGCGGCGAUGAAGAGGAGGCAGCUGGGCAGGAUGAUGAUGACAACGACGACACCAACGACGAUGUUGAUCCGGACAACAUGACAUAUGAGCAAGGGCAGGAACUAGUGGAAUCAGUGGGAAAUGAGAGCAGAGGUUUAUCAGAUGAGCUCCUGUCAUACUUGGUGCCAUGGAAGUACAGGUCAGGAUCAGGGUUCUUCUCAAGGAGGACAAACCAUGAUGACACUUGUACUGUGUGCCUGUCAGCUUUCAGAAACCGGGAGAACAUCAUAACCUUGCCCUGCAAACAUAAUUACCAUGCAAGUUGCAUUAGCAGCUGGCUCAAGAUCAACAAGACCUGCCCAGUUUGCAAGUAUGAAGUGUUUGGGCCCUCCUAG